UAUCAAUAGCAUCACCAAUAAUCUUUCCUUACUAAAAACUUCAUUCAAUCAUGUUUUAAGAGAAGCAAAUUUUGUUGAUGAUUGUUUUGCUAAAAAGGGUUUGCACCGUUCUUAAGAUUUCAUUGUUUUCUUGUAGUUCUUGCUUCUUGUCUUAAUGACUUCUCUUUUUAAGAGGUUCAGCAUCCUGUAGGCUGGAUGAAUUCUUGCUUAUAAAAGAAAGUGGAGGUGAGGAUUGGAUUAGCUGGGCUAAAUGGGUUCAAGCUUGGAGGUGCAGUUUUGGUUCACCCAAAUUUUAUGGGUACAAAACUUGAUAGUAUGUUGUUGGGUGCAAACGCAAGAACAAACUCAGUUUUUCCAUUUUCUUUUUUCUUUUUUCUGAUUGAUUAAUGUCUUAAUUAGUGCUACACAAAGCCGAAGUCAUGAUCAGUGCCAUCAGCAAUUUCUUUUUUCUCAGGAUUCUCACUUCUCAGCAAUUCAGAUAUUCGAUGCUUCAAGUCGAAGUGCUUGUCAAUGUACCCAAAUCAAACCCAGGAGAAGAGUUUGACAACAGUUUGGGCUUGGGAAAGAAGGAAUCUUAGCAAAUAGCUAUAUACCAAAUGAAAAAGUGCAAGACAAAUUCAUACGGGCCCAUGCAACUAUGAUAUAUCAUUAUCAGGAUUCAGGAAUAACGUUGCUUUGUAUAUGCAAAUGGGCUGGAGCUUUCAUUUUUGGACCAUAACGCCCAACUGGGCAUUUCUUCCAUUAUCGGGAACUUAAAGUUUGAAUUUUGAUUCCAAACCAUUCAAAUUGAG
rnacentral:misc_RNA from 1 species